rnacentral:pre_miRNA from 1 species
ACGUACUUCUUUAUAAAGCCACGUGCGCGAGCUGGGAUCGUGGAAUGUAAAGAAGUAUGGGU